rnacentral:rRNA from 1 species
CAGCCGCCGCGGUAAAACGAGGGGUGCAAGCGUUAUUCGGAUUGAUUGGGUGUAAAGGGUGUGCAGACGGCUUAUUAAGUCAUUUGUUAAAUUCUCCGGCCUAACUGAAGGUCUGCAAGUGAUACUGAUGAGCUAGAGGGUGGAAGAGAGAAGUGGAAUUCUCGGAGUAGCGGUAAAAUGCGUAGAUCUCGAGAGGAACACCAAUGGCGAAGGCAGCUUCUUGGUCCAUUCCUGACGUUCAUACACGAAAGCGUGGGGAGCAAACAGGAUUAGAUACCCCCGUAGUCCCUGUCUCUUAUAA